GCGCCUACGGGGGGCAGCAGUGGGGAAUAUUGCACAAUGGGGGAAACCCUGAUGCAGCGACGCCGCGUGAGUGAAGAAGUAUUUCGGUACGUAAAGCUCUAUCAGCAGGGAAGAAAAAUGACGGUACCUGACUAAGAAGCCCCGGCUAACUACGUGCCAGCAGCCGCGGUAAUACGUAGGGGGCAAGCGUUAUCCGGAUUUACUGGGUGUAAAGGGAGCGUAGGCGGCUGUGCAAGUCUGAAGUGAAAUGCCGGGGCCCAACCCCGGAACUGCCUUGGAAACUGUACAGCUAG
rnacentral:rRNA from 1 species